CGCGGGGCCCAAGCCUGUAGUCUCAAAUCGGAUAAUCUCUGCAACUGCUAACGCGCAAAGGGGAAGCCAGGCAACCGCGUGUCAGAAGAGAGCGCUCGACUCCGAGG
rnacentral:lncRNA from 1 species